CUGAGAACAGUUGGUUUAUGAAGUUUUCUACUGGGAGGUUUAAAGAAGAGCUUAGGAGUCACGUGUUUGAACACCGCUCGUUACCAGAUGCUUUCCUGGGCUUCAGUUCCCUCGUGUUUUAGAAUGGGGAUGCACAUUCCUACGUCCCAGGGCAUGUUGGGAGCUUUUAAAGAACUAGAAUUUAUCCAAUGAAAAAGGCUUUUUUGUACUUUUCCCUGGUCACUGGGAUGCUGACCGUGAUCCACAGAUUUUCAAGGACCCAAGAUUACAAUCAAAUACGCUAAGUGACGCUACUGAGUAUAGUUUAAUGCCUUUCCUUUAGACCAUAUUUUAACCUUGCAGCUCUAAAGGCCACAUCAUGUCUCUAGGUUAAUUAAGUACCAAGUGGCAAAGCUGAUGGCACAAAAUGGAGCACAAGUUCAUUGUUAUUAAAUAAAAGUGGCGUAAAGUCUAAGGCAUAAACCAAUCUAAGUUCCAAACGCAAUGAAGGCAACAGUGAGAGAUUAGGAAGGCAGCCCCAACCCAGCUCCAUUUUUCUUUGCUGGCAUUUCUGAGGUAUAAAUCAAAUGUGAUUUGUU